rnacentral:rRNA from 1 species
GACGAACGCUGGCGGCGUGCUUAACACAUGCAAGUCGAACGGAAAGGCCCUGCUUUUGUGGGGUGCUCGAGUGGCGAAAGGGUGAGUAACACGUGAGUAACCUGCCCUUGACUUUGGGAUAACUUCAGGAAACUGGGGCUAAUACCGGAUAGGAGCUCCUGCUGCAUGGUGGGGGUUGGAAAGUUUCGGCGGUUGGGGAUGGACUCGCGGCUUAUCAGCUUGUUGGUGGGGUAGUGGCUUACCAAGGCUUUGACGGGUAGCCGGCCUGAGAGGGUGACCGGCCACAUUGGGACUGAGAUACGGCCCAGACUCCUACGGGAGGCAGCAGUGGGGAAUAUUGCACAAUGAGCGGAAGCCUGAUGCAGCAACGCCGCGUGCGGGAUGACGGCCUUCGGGUUGUAAACCGCUUUCGCCUGUGACGAAGCGUGAGUGACGGUAAUGGGUAAAGAAGCACCGGCUAACUACGUG